rnacentral:tRNA from 1 species
GGGAUAAUAGCUUAGUUUGGUUAGAGUACUCGCCUGUCACGUGAGAGGUCGCGGGUUCGAGUCCCGUUUAUCCCG